rnacentral:rRNA from 1 species
AUUGAACGCUGGCGGCAUGCCUUACACAUGCAAGUCGAGCGGGGUGAUGGUGCUUGCACUAUCACUUAGCGGCGGACGGGUGAGUAAUGCUUAGGAAUCUGCCUAUUAGUGGGGGACAACAUCUCGAAAGGGAUGCUAAUACCGCAUACGUCCUACGGGAGAAAGCAGGGGAUCACUUGUGACCUUGCGCUAAUAGAUGAGCCUAAGUCGGAUUAGCUAGUUGGUGGGGUAAAGGCCUACCAAGGCGACGAUCUGUAGCGGGUCUGAGAGGAUGAUCCGCCACACUGGGACUGAGACACGGCCUAGACUCCUACGGGAGGCAGCAGUGGGGAAUAUUGGACAAUGGGGGGAACCCUGAUCCAGCCAUGCCGCGUGUGUGAAGAAGGCCUUAUGGUUGUAAAGCACUUUAAGCGAGGAGGAGGCUCUUUUGGUUAAUACCCAAGAUGAGUGGACGUUACUCGCAGAAUAAGCACCGGCUAACUCUGUGCCAGCCGCCGCAGUAA